rnacentral:pre_miRNA from 9 species
UCUCGAUAACGUAAAAGUUAACUCAAAUUUACAUGGAGUUGGAAUGUUUGCCUACGUUUGUCGCCAGGGACGGUGUUCCAACUACAUACAAAUUCGCGUUAACUUUUACGCUAUCGA